rnacentral:rRNA from 1 species
UGGGGAAUUUUGCGCAAUGGGCGAAAGCCUGACGCAGCGACGCCGCGUGAGGGAUGAAGGUCUUAGGAUUGUAAACCUCUGUCAGGAAGCAUUAAAUGUGCGGAUAUCAACACCAUCCGUACUUGACUUAACUUCCAGAGGAAGCCCCGGCUAACUACGUGCCAGCAGCCGCGGUAAUACGUAGGGGGCAAGCGUUACUCGGAUUUAUUGGGCGUAAAGAGAAUUAAGGCGGUCAUGUAAGUCAGUGGUGAAAUCCCCCGGCUCAACUGGGGAAUUGCCUCUGAUACUGCGUGACUUGAGGACAGGAGAGGAAGGCGGAAUUCCCGGUGUAGCGGUGGAAUGCGUAGAUAUCGGGAGGAACACCUGAGGCGAAGGCGGCUUUCUGGACUGGUCCUGACGCUGAUAUUCGAAAGCUAGGGGAGCAAACAGG